UACAGAGGUCUCAAGCGUUGUUCGGAUUCAUUGGGCGUAAAGGGUGCGUAGGCGGCGCGGUAAGUCGGGUGUGAAAUCUCGGAGCUUAACUCCGAAACUGCAUUCGAUACUGCCGUGCUUGAGGACUGGAGAGGAGACUGGAAUUUACGGUGUAGCGGUGAAAUGCGUAGAUAUCAGGAGGAACAUCAGUGGCGAAGGCGGCCAUCUGGAUCGUACCUGACGCUGAGAUACGAAAGCGUGGGGAGCAAACAGG
rnacentral:rRNA from 1 species